rnacentral:rRNA from 1 species
UACGAAGGGGGAGCUAGCGUUGCUCGGAAUCACUGGGCGUAAAGGGUGCGUAGGCGGGUCUUUAAGUCAGGGGUGAAAUCCUGGAGCUCAACUCCAGAACUGCCUUUGAUACUGAGGAUCUUGAGUUCGGGAGAGGUGAGUGGAACUGCGAGUGUAGAGGUGAAAUUCGUAGAUAUUCGCAAGAACACCAGUGGCGAAGGCGGCUCACUGGCCCGAUACUGACGCUGAGGCACGAAAGCGUGGGGAGCAAACAGG